UACGUAGGGGGCAAGCGUUGUCCGGAGUUACUGGGCGUAAAGCGCACGCAGGCGGUCUGCUAAGUUUGGAGUGACAGUUGGUGGCUCAACUACCAAAGUGCUUUGAAAACUGACAGACUUGAGGACUUCAGAGGGACACGGAAUUCCGGGUGGAGUGGUGAAAUGCGUAGAGAUCCGGAGGAACACCAAAGGCGAAGGCAGUGUCCUGGGGAGUACCUGACGCUCAGG
rnacentral:rRNA from 1 species